rnacentral:rRNA from 1 species
GAUGAACGCUAGCGGCAGGCUUAAUACAUGCAAGUCGAGGGGCAGCGCAGUGUAGCAAUACAUGGGCGGCGACCGGCAAACGGGUGCGGAACACGUACGCAACCUACCCAUAACUGAUGAAUAGCCCUCCGAAAGGAGGAUUAAUACAUCGUAACUUAAUGAAGUGGCAUCGCUUUAUUAAUAUAGCUCCGGCGGUUUUGGAUGGGCGUGCGCCUGAUUAGGUAGUCGGCGGGGUAACGGCCCACCAAGCCUGCGAUCAGUAACUGGUGUGAGAGCACGACCAGUCACACGGGCACUGAGACACGGGCCCGACUCCUACGGGAGGCAGCAGUAAGGAAUAUUGGUCAAUGGACGCAAGUCUGAACCAGCCAUGCCGCGUGAAGGAUGAAGGUCCUCUGGAUUGUAAACUUCUUUUGAAUGGGACGAAACCUCUUUUUCUUGAGAGACUGACGGUACCAUUAGAAUAAGCACCGGCUAACUCCGUGCCAGCAGCCGCGGUAAAAC